GCAUCGGUAGUGUACGGUUACACCCACCCUUCAACUUCAAUCGGAUAUUUUCAAGCAGAUUUGCAGCGGUGAGCCGGGGUUCGACUCCCCGCCGGUGCA